rnacentral:lncRNA from 1 species
GUGCACCGUCGGAGGAAUGUGAACAGAGGACAGUAUCGUCAGGCUGCUGCUGUGACUAUUCCAGCAACUCAACAACAGCAGAGAAGACCAACUCAGCAAUAUCAGCAUCAACAACAUCGUCCUCAACAGCAGGCUUACCAGCCUCUCAAUGGUAAUCAAGCCAGUACGAGUAAUGAGAGGAAGAAGAUCACUUUUGAUCCGAUCCCUAUGUCAUACGCAGAACUGUAUCCCUCUUUGAU